AGAGUUUGAUCCUGGCUCAGGAUCGAACGCUGGCGGCGUGCCUAAUACAUGCAAGUCGAGUCGGUAAGGUUUCCACUCUGGUAUUUAACGAGUUUGAAUAUAGGGUGGAAAUACACGAGCGGCGGACGGCUGAGUAACACGUAGGAACGUACCCCAAACUGAGGGAUAAGCACGGAAACGGUGUCUAAUACCGCAUGUGCUCUUCGGGGUAAAGCUACGGCGGUUUGGGAACGGCCUGCGCAUGAUUAGCUUGUUGGUGAGGUAAUAGCUCACCAAGGCGACGAUCAUUAGCUGGUCUGAGAGGAUGAUCAGCCAGACUGGGACUGAGAACGGCCCAGACUCCUACGGGAGGCAGCAGUAGGGAAUUUUCCACAAUGGGCGAAAGCCUGAUGGAGCAACGCCGCGUGCAGGACGAAGGCCUUCGGGUUGUAAACUGCUUUUAUAUGUGACGAUUAUGACGGUAGCAUAUGAAUAAGGAUCGGCUAACUCCGUG
rnacentral:rRNA from 1 species